rnacentral:rRNA from 1 species
UACAGGGGGUGCAAACGUUGCUCGGAAUCAUUGGGCGUAAAGCGUGUGUAGGCGGCUUCUUAAGUCUGAUGUGAAAGCCCUGGGCUCAACUCAGGAAGUGCAUUGGAUACUGGGAGACUUGAAUACGGGAGAGGGUAGUGGAAUUCCUAGUGUAGGAGUGAAAUCCGUAGAUAUUAGGAGGAACACCGGUGGCGAAGGCGGCUACCUGGACCGAUAUUGACGCUGAGACGCGAAAGCGUGGGGAGCAAACAGG